CCUCCCGCCUUAGCCUCCCUUGUAGCGGCUACGGUAGGCAGUUUUUGUUUCUUUAAGUUGUAAUUUUUUUAUUUUUUAAGGGCUCAGGAAAGCACUGUAUUGGAUUGUCACAUGAAAAGCAUAUCACAUAGAGUUUGUAAUUAUAUCUAGACAUGCAAAUACUAGGGAAAAAACUAAAAAUCUGGAGUAUAAACACAUUUUAUAUGAUUGAAGUUUUAUUUUCUUUAUCAUUCCAGAAACUAGACAAGUUACAGUGUAGAUCAAUCUUCCUGUCCCCCAAAUAUGAAUUAAAUUAUAUUGUGUGAAAGGGAGAUUAUAAAAUGCCAGCAUGUGAAAAGCCUCUUGCACAUGAACGAACAUUUAUUGGAGGAAGGAAGACAAAGUUGGAGACUGCCUGUAUAGCUUCAUGACGCCUUGCCUGCCAGACUAGUCAGCUCUCCUCGGACUUAGCCAUGGGAAGACUUUCACAUGGUGGCAAGAAACUCAGUCAUUGUGGGCUCAUUUGGACGCUGAGUAUCUCCACAAGGGCCAGAUUGGAAGCCAACUGCAUGCUGGUUUCUUCGCCACUCAGAGAGUUUCAGGAAACCAGGCUCCUGUUUGGACAUCUCGCCCUUGUCUGGCAUACUUUAUGCAUUGAGCAUCCAGGACACCAGUUUGGCUCAUUUUACUGGAAGAGAAAGAGAGGAACACUCUGGAAAAAGAGGAAAAAGAGUUCAGGAUUGAGUGAUGUUCUGUGGAUGGUGCUCUGAGCGCCAUUUUAUGUAAAAGGUUAUUCGAGGCAAAUGCCAAGAUUCCAGAGGUAGGAUUUCUUUACUCUUAUAACUGGCCCAGGAAACCAGAAUCCUCCAGGAUCCACAGCUGGAAAAAGAAGACAGUCAGACUUUGAGAUGCCCCCCAAUCAUGCCCAUCUCCUGGUGCCCAUAACUUUUUAUAAUCACUCCCUUUUAUGUGUGGGCUGGACCUAGAAUCUCAAACUUAAUUCAUGUAAGAGUGGGGAGGGUCUAUAUUUGUUGUUAUUCUAUACAUACUAUGUACUUGAAAUUUUACCAAUGAGAACCUAUUUCAAACAUUCAUUAUUCUAUUAAACUAGCUACUAUUAAAAAAACACAAUAGCCUAUUUCUGGCAUUGCAUAUGUUAAUUUGCAAGCCUUAAGUUUGAUUGAGAUAUGGAUUAGAAACAUUUGUAGUAGCUGCCUCUGGACUAUGGGUUUCCUAAUGAGGACUCCUGCUGACCACUGCAGGUCUGUGCAUUCUUGAGUAGAAUGCUUUCUUGAGAUUGGGCAGUCCAGACUUAUAGCUGAAACCCAAUUACAC